rnacentral:rRNA from 1 species
CCUUAGGCCUUGACAUACUAAGAACUUUCCAGAGAUGGAUUGGUGCCUUCGGGAACUUAGAUACAGGUGCUGCAUGGCUGUCGUCAGCUCGUGUCGUGAGAUGUUGGGUUAAGUCCGCAACGAGCGCAACCCUUUUCCUUAUUUGCCAGCGGGUCAUGCCGGGAACUUUAAGGAUACUGCCAGUGACAAACUGGAGGAAGGCGGGGACGACGUCAAGUCAUCAUGGCCCUUACGGCCAGGGCUACACACGUGCUACAAUGGUCGGUACAAAGGGUUGCUACCUCGCGAGAGGAUGCUAAUCUCAAAAAGCCGAUCGUAGUCCGGAUCGCGGUCUGCAACUCGACUGCGUGAAGUCGGAAUCGCUAGUAAUCGCGGAUCAGAAUGCCGCGGUGAAUACGUUCCCGGGCCUUGUACACACCGCCCGUCACACCAUGGGAGUUUGUUGCACCAGAAGUAGGUAGUCUAACCGCAAGGAGGACGCUUACCACGGUGUGGCCGAUGACUGGGGUGAAGUCGUAACAAGGUAGGCGUAGAUGA